AAUUAAGUGAUUGUGAGUUUUUCUCUCUUUUUUAAAAAAAAAAAAUAGAAAUUGGGGAUUGAAAAAAAAAAUGGAAAAUUAAAAUUGAUGGAAUAAAAUAAAAUAAAAUAAAGUCAAAAUCAAUCAAGAAUCACACAAAUAGAAUAGCUUAAACUGUGAAUCUCCGGUAACGGCGCCAAAAUCUUGUUGGGGCAAAUCGGCAAGUGUACCGAGUCGCACAAGUAAUAUAAAAUGGUAAGACCAAGUAUCAUAUGCCAGAGGAC
rnacentral:lncRNA from 1 species